AUUGAACGCUGGCGGCAGGCCUAACACAUGCAAGUCGAGCGGAUGAAGGGAGCUUGCUCCUGGAUUCAGCGGCGGACGGGUGAGUAAUGCCUAGGAAUCUGCCAGGUAGUGGGGGAUAACGUCCGGAAACGGGCGCUAAUACCGCAUACGUCCUGAGGGAGAAAGUGGGGGAUCUUCGGACCUCACGCUAUCAGAUGAGCCUAGGUCGGAUUAGCUAGUUGGUGGGGUAAAGGCCUACCAAGGCGACGAUCCGUAACUGGUCUGAGAGGAUGAUCAGUCACACUGGAACUGAGACACGGUCCAGACUCCUACGGGAGGCAGCAGUGGGGAAUAUUGGACAAUGGGUGAAAGCCUGAUCCAGCCAUGCCGCGUGUGUGAAGAAGGUCUUCGGAUUGUAAAGCACUUUAAGUUGGGAGGAAGGGCAGUAAGUUAAUACCUUGCUGUUUUGACGUUACCAACAGAAUAAGCACCGGCUAACUUCGUG
rnacentral:rRNA from 1 species